rnacentral:rRNA from 1 species
CUACGGGUCGCUGCAGUGGGGAAUAUUGGACAAUGGGCGCAAGCCUGAUCCAGCAAUACCGCGUGUGUGAAGAAGGCCUGCGGGUUGUAAAGCACUUUCAAUUGUGAAGAAAAGCGAGAGGUUAAUAGCCUUUUGUCUUGACGUUAACUUUAGAAGAAGCGCCGGCUAACUCUGUGCCAGCAGCCGCGGUAAUACAGAGAGGUGCGAGCGUUAAUCGGAAUUACUGGGCGUAAAGCGUGCGUAGGCGGUUUAGUAAGUCAGAUGUGAAAGCCCUGGGCUCAACCUGGGAACUGCAUUUGAACUGCUGAACUAGAGUGUGGUAGAGGGAAGUGGAAUUACGGGUGUAGCGGUGAAAUGCGUAGAUAUCCGGAGGAACACCAGUGGCGAAGGCGACUUCCUGGACCAACACCGACGCUGAGGUACGAAAGCGUGGGUAGCAAACAGGAUUAGAUACCCCCGUAGUC